rnacentral:sRNA from 2 species
UAUUCUGCCCAUGCGGGAAGGAUGAGAAGCUUCGACUAAGGUUCGAUUCGAGCGUAGCGAGAAAGCGUUGCCAACGGCAACGACCCGAAGGGCGAAGCGCGCAGCGCUGAGUCAUCCUUCCCCCACCACCA